GGCAAGGUGGCCGAGUGGUCUAAGGCGAAUGACUCAAGCUUCAGAAGCUUCCCUGAACAAGGGGUUUCAUUUCUCGCAAGAGGCGUGGGUUCGAAUCCCACCCUUGUCA